rnacentral:lncRNA from 1 species
UUGCGCAGUUAAGAUCAGUUUCAUUUCGAUUAUCAAGCCUUCAACGUCAGCACAGAACAUACGGAUUGUGUCAUCGUGACAGGAUCGCUCAGAUCCUCGCGUUGGAUGGGCGUUUACAUUCGAUCGGUGUUCGCGAAUGAGCUUAUCCCAUCCGCGCUAACAACGGGAUUACACAAGCCGUGUUUAAAAUUACAACACCGAAAGUCAGAUUGACAGUAAUUGCAUAUAAAUAGAAAACAAUUUAAAUCGGAACGAAUAGUUUAGUCAAAACAUUGUUUUUAAACCACAAUCCAAAUCAAAUUCGCCGAAAAAAAUUAAAUACUCAACAUGAAGGAACAAUAUUUAAUAAUCUACAUGUGUUCUAAUGUGCUUAUUGCGUGAAAACUUUGUUUCAAGGAUCGUCGUUCAGCUUUAUGAAAACAUUGUGAGAAUAUAUAUAAAUCUAACAACAUAUAUUUACAUUUACAGAUAUCAUUUAAUCUCGCCCAUGAGCAACUCUCUAAAAAUUCAAUUACUUAAAGGACCCAUCUAUGGAAAAAAAUUAAGACUCACCAAAAAUCGGAUAUGAAGAAAUCUCACCAAAACUAUUCCAACAAUCAAACUCAAUAGUCUCAUAAAUGAGUGACAAUCUUGAGUUACAUUUUCCUCUAAAAGACUCAUUUGCCAUUGCAGCGAAAAACGUUCAUCUAUAUAAACAAUGGCGUGCUGUCGGAGAAAUGUAAAGGAGUAUUGGCGGAGGAGCAGCUAAAAGAUUAAGAAAGAUAAACCAUCCCUUCAACUUACAACUAUAACAACAAAGAUAACUACUACGAAAAGCUAAUUUCCCCAGCUAAGCACUCGCAGCAGGAGAAAGAUAAGAGCAUCACCCCUGCUUAACAUAUACAUACAUACCUCUUCCACCCCAUUCUUAAAUACAAGGCCACGUACAUAUGUAUGUAUGUGUGCGUGCCACACGCGGAGGGAUUCAUUCAUCAACAUCUGAAGCAUCAUUCAUACAUAAAUUCGCUCCUGCCUCUCUUAUGAAUGAGCUGACGGGUUUUGCACACAGAAGCACUUUCGAUAUUCAACGCUUAGAUUUUGGGCAAUUUUGGCUGUGACGAACUAAAUAUCAGUAAUUGAUUUUCGGCAAAUUUUAGAUCACUCAAAAUUCAUCGAUGAGAUCUACCGUUAAAAUUAUCGAAAACUCUGUUUGGCACAUAUCUUUUUGAGACAUAAUACAACAAAUAUUAUGAAGGAGCAACGCCAAAAUUCAAAAAAAAAACUCUAAAUAAUUUUAUGUAUCUUAAGCUCUUCAAAUUUUAUCAUGGAAUCAAAACUUACCAUACAUACGUAAUCAAAAUUUUACUAAAAUUAAAACAGUUCUAUAAUCUAUAAAUACAAUGUAAAUUCCAAAAAAAAAGCCAAAUUAUGAUACUCAAUUAAACGUUGUGCUCUCUUGCACACGACCAUAGCGGAAUUAAACAUGGACAAUAAGCAUUCAUGGUGGUCCAUAAAACACUGCUCUGGCUCUAAAGUAACUAAUUUUUUAUAUAUGUAUGUGUGUAUAAUCAUACAUUCAUAUACAUAAGUAGCAGCAUAAAUUAUUCUGUGCAAAGAACGGAAGUCGUUAUGCGGCAAACGCAAGAAAUUUCCAAUCCUGGCUGUGGCUACCGACAAAGCUCAUUUCGUCUCCCCGGAAAGACCAAUAAAAAAUACAUUUUGGCAAGCAACACAGCGCAGAAAACCCAAGACAAACCCAUCUUACAAACGACAGAGCAAAAAAUAUUACAUUUAAAGCAAAUCUCUAAAAAAAAUUCAAUUCAAUUCAAGCAGCCGACUUUUCUAUACUGUAAAAAACAACAAGUGGGUUGCGAAUGCGGCACUCCACUUACUAAACCCGUUGUGGGCGGUGAGAAAGUGUAAUUGCAGCAGCGCUGUUAGGACGCGUACACACAGCAAUGCCAAUCAAUAACACAGGCCUAGCAAACUGCCAUCCAUCAUAACAAGUGUAUUUAUGUGCAUACAUAGAUACAUACAUAUGUAACUAACGUCGUUCAUUCCAAUGCUUUUGACGAUGGCACAUCAAAAAUCUUAAGUGAUUUUUCCAAAUAAGAAUUAUCGAACCGAGUUGAAAAACUUAUUCAUGGCAAAUUCAAAUGCAUGCGGGCAACUUUCAUAUCAGUAAAUCUCAUAACCUUAUUAUUUUACUUUUCAAGGAAACUAGCAAAAAGUGUAUCAUUUCAUUACAUUCGGUUGACAGAAUGUUCAAAAUAAGAGAUGAAGCGAUGAAAUUCAAAUCAAAAUCAACUUCUGAAUUAGAUUCAAAGGGAAAACUAUAACUUUAUCCCUUUUCCAUCGUUGAUCGGCAUACCCACCCUAAAUGCUAUGCGAAUACCUAUGACGAGCCUUUAAAUUGUGGUAAAAUUUCUUGAAGAAGAUUUGAAAGUCUGGAUUAAUAUACGGUCAUAUGUUUUGCUGCAAGCAUACCCUCACACAUAUUAUGGUAUAUUUAUGGAUAUGUACCUACGUGAGCACAAGUCAAUAAAGCAACGAAAAAUAUCAACAUCAAAAACAAAUUGAACCUAGGCAAUUCCAUAGCGAUAGAAUCCAACGUGCGGUUGUGGCCAACGACCUAGCUGAAAACAUAUAUACAUACCUCUAUACAUAUUGUAUAUGUAUAUAUGUAUGUGCACCUCUUAACAAAUAAACAAAUCGAAACAAGCAACGCACGCAACAGAUUCACAUCAGCUACGUCAUGCAAGCAGCCAUACUCAGCCUUAACCACAUACAUACAUAUGUAUAAACUAUGUAUGUACUCGCAUGUAGAUCCGUGCAUCCCCACUUACAUAUGUAUGUACAUAUCUGUGAACAACAUUGACAGGAUCGAAAGUACUAUCGAGCAACGCUCCAACAACAACAAAAUGCCGUCUUUGACAUUUUAAGCAACAGAAGCGCUACAGUAUUUAAACUUUGCAUCAUAAAUUUAUGAACCAGCAGCAGUCGACGUAAUUGCUAUCAAUAAAAUAUAAACCCAAAAAAACGGCCAGACCCACACUAUGGCCAUGCGCAGUUCCGAGCCUGCCAACCUUUUUGCACACCACUAUCAUGAAAGUAUUCAAGACAACCAAACCACCCCAAUCACCGCCAACCGUACCAUUUGGCCAAGCUAAUGCCACGGUGCCUGGGUUAAGGCGGUCGCUGCAAAUGAAAUUACAACAUUUCUAUUGAACAUGGCAGACCAUAUCUAACGAAAGAAAAGCCAAGACCGCGGCAAUCACAAAAGGAUACUCGUACAAAGGUAAAAUUCUCAAGAAUAAUAGUAAAUCCUUUGGCACACUUGUAUGAAGUUAUCUGCAAUCAUGCUGGCAAGUAUUUAUAUAAAAAAUUUGAAUCGACGAGUACUAGCGCAACUUUUUCGGUAUCGCAUGGCUUUUAAACGUUUUUUUUUUAAAUCUAGCCGAACUAAAGAAAACUUGUUUCGGGAUCGAUUUCUUCAACCACAAGGUAGCAAAUGGUAUUUGGAAAAAAGUAUCUAAAUUAGUAUUACAAAUGUUAAAAAAAAUGUUUGCCCAAUAUUGACCUUGCGCCGCAUUAAAUUUGUGCACAUACAAACUUACUUAUGCUUUGAAAGAUUCAAUUUCUUUACAAUUUUCGCAGUAAUUUCCUAAAAUAAAUAUUUUGAAACAAGGGAAAGUGGAGUACUAACAAAACUAUGACUUUCAAUAGAAACCUUUUACCAUUUCGACAUUUUAUCAAUCAAGUCAUCAGUUUAUCAUUAUUAUGUGGCACUUUACAUUGUGUAUCACACAUCUACUGAUUUAUUUGGCAUCUUCCCACUCAACACUUUGGUUAGGAUCUGUCCAGAGAGAUUGCGUUGUGAAAUUAUAUUAGACGAUUGUGUGGUAAAGAGUCUGGGGGGAUACCCAGUGUAAUUGCUUAAAAUACGCAACAUAAAGGCACGUUAUGCCCAUGUGCUAGAAAGCAAAAUGUAAGCAAUGAAAAGGCAAAUCAGUUGGAAAAUUUUUGUGGUACCCAAAAUGAAAUAUUACAAAUCCAAUACCUAUAUUUAUAUUCACAGGCAUUCGCAAAAUUAAAGGAAUUUUUUUUAUUUUUGCUAUAAAUCCAAGAUUGAGGCUGCAUGCCUUGAUUCAGAUAAGAAAACACAAACAUACAUACUACAUAGAUAUAUACUUAACAUAUGUAUUUAAGUAAAAUAAAUCAAAACCACGCAAACUAUAAAAUUAAAUUGAAAAACUCUUAACAUAACUUUAAAUAUUUAUUGAUAAUAUUAUUGUCUAAAAGGUCAUAUCAAAGUGUUAGACAAAGACUAUUUCGAAUAUCGAAGAUAACGUAACUACACCUUGUAUCCCCUCGCUAUGAUACAAUGGGUCGUAUGAAUCAAAACUAAGCAAUUGCUUUUUUCUUAAAAUGUUUAAGCUUUUACUCGAUUUAUUUAAAAAAUGUAAGUGGUUAGACUGAAAUUUUAAGAAAAUGCAAUUAUUUAGUUUUUAUUCAUACAGCCCAAUGGAAUAAAAGCAAUCUUUUGAUUUUUUUCGUACAUGUUUGAUAAGAAACCAAAUUUGGAUGACAUUUUGAAUCAUUCAAAAGUCAAAGCAAAGCAUGCAGCCGAUUAGCAAAGCUCAUACGUAGCACUAAAGUACUGAAUGCAAAUCCUUUUGUCUAAAAUGUAGUCUCCUUGUCAAUUAAGCAUUUGCAAGCAUUUUAGACGAGACGAUUGUUGCAUUUAUGCAAAUAAGCCACAUUUUAUAAAAUGUAUACAAAAUUAUAUACAUAGAUAGAAGCAAUCGAUACAGUGUUUGUCAAUCUCUUUGGUGGACCUACAGAUCUAGGAACGCACACUCUAAUAUAAAAUUGUUUACUUUAUUCAAAUUUCUAAAACUAAAAACAAGAAAUUCAAAAUGUAAAAAGACUUAAGAUAAAUACAAACUAAGAAUUGUAAUCCUUGUAAAAUAUCAGUAAGUGAAUUGUAAUUAAAAGCACAGUACACAAACUAUAAUUUCAAUUAUAUAAUUACCGUUGAAAUUGUACAUGCCAAAUUGCUCCUAAUAAAAUAAACUUAUGUAAUCCCUAA